rnacentral:rRNA from 1 species
GACGAACGCUGGCGGCGUGCUUAACACAUGCAAGUCGAACGGAAAGGCCCUGCUUUUGUGGGGUGCUCGAUUGGCGAACGGGUGCGUAACACGUGUGUAACCUGCCCUUGACUUUCGGAUAACUUAAGGAAACUGGGGCUAAUACCGGACAGGAGCUCCUGCUGCGUGGUGGGGGUUGGAAAUUUUCGGCGGGUGGGGAUGGACUCGCGGCUGAUCAGCUUGUUAGUGGGGUAGUGGCUUACCAAGGCUUUGACGGGUAGCCGGCCUGAGAGGGUGACCGGCCACAUUGGGACUGAGAUACGGACCAGAGUCCUACGGGAGGCAGUAGUGGGGAAUAUUGCACAAUGAGCGGAAGCCUGAGGCAACAACGCCGCGUGCGGGAUGACGGCCUGCGGGUUGUAAACCGCUUUCGCCUGUGACGCAGCGUGAGUGACGGUAAUGGGUAAAGAAGCACCGGCUAACUACGUG